CAGUCACCCCUCUGCAGUUUUUUAUAGGUUCAGCUUCUCAUUCUAUUAGUCUCUUUAGUGUGUUUUCUCCACAGGUUUUUGUAGUUUCCCUUCCCCUUAGAAUAUUAGUUUAUUUUGCUGCUCAUCUUGUCUUUAGGUUUUUUACUCUUUACUCUUAGGUCAUGUUAGUUUCCUCCCUGAUUAGUUAAUUGCUUUCACCUGGUUCUCUCUCCACACACCUGCAGCCCACCUGCCUCCCAUCAUGCCCCAGUGUGUAUAAGCCCUGUCUUGUCUCAGUGUCUUGUCAGUCCAUUGUUGUUGUCAGCGUUGUUUUGGUGCUCUGUGUGAGCUUUGUGUCUCGUCCCCAGGUUUUGUGCUCUAUGUGAGCUUUUGUUCUCCUGAUUCAGGAUUUUUGUUUUUGGAUUCCUGCCCCUUUGGGUUUUUAGUUCAUCAUCCUAAGUAAAGGAUUUAUUUUUAAAAC